AUUGAACGCUGGCGGCAGGCCUAACACAUGCAAGUCGAACGAGUGGCGGACGGGUGAGUAAUGUCUGGGAAACUGCCAGAUGGAGGGGGAUAACUACUGGAAACGGUAGCUAAUACCGCAUACCAUCGGAUGUGCCCAGAUGGGAUUCGCUAGUAGGUGGGGUAACGGCUACACUAGGCGACGCUCCCUAGCUGGUCUGAGAGGAGGACCAGCCACACUGGAACGUAGACACGGUCCAGACUCCUCCGGGAGGCAGCAGUGGGGAAUAUUGCACAAUGGGCGCAAGCCUGAUGCAGCCAUGCCGCGUGUAUGAAGAAGGCCUUCGGGUUGUAAAGUACUUUCAGCGAGGAGGCGUUACUCGCAGAAGAAGCACCGGCUAACUCCGUGCCAGCAGCCGCGGUAAUAC
rnacentral:rRNA from 1 species